rnacentral:rRNA from 1 species
GUCGAGCGAACGGACGAGAAGCUUGCUUCUCUGAUGUUAGCGGCGGACGGGUGAGUAACACGUGGAUAACCUACCUAUAAGACUGGGAUAACUUCGGGAAACCGGAGCUAAUACCGGAUAAUAUUUUGAACCGCAUGGUUCAAAAGUGAAAGACGGUCUUGCUGUCACUUAUAGAUGGAUCCGCGCUGCAUUAGCUAGUUGGUAAGGUAACGGCUUACCAAGGCAACGAUGCAUAGCCGACCUGAGAGGGUGAUCGGCCACACUGGAACUGAGACACGGUCCAGACUCCUACGGGAGGCAGCAGUAGGGAAUCUUCCGCAAUGGGCGAAAGCCUGACGGAGCAACGCCGCGUGAGUGAUGAAGGUCUUCGGAUCGUAAAACUCUGUUAUUAGGGAAGAACAUAUGUGUAAGUAACUGUGCACAUCUUGACGGUACCUAAUCAGAAAGCCACGGCUAACUACGUGCCAGCAGCCGCGGUAAUACGUAGGUGGCAAGCGUUAUCCGGAAUUAUUGGGCGUAAAGCGCGCGUAGGCGGUUUUUUAAGUCUGAUGUGAAAGCCCACGGCUCAACCGUGGAGGGUCAUUGGAAACUGGAAAACUUGAGUGCAGAAGAGGAAAGUGGAAUUCCAUGUGUAGCGGUGAAAUGCGCAGAGAUAUGGAGGAACACCAGUGGCGAAGGCGACU